AGCUAGUUGGUAGGGUAAUGGCCUACCAAGGCGACGACGGGUAGGGGACCUGAGAGGGUGAUCCCCCACAAUGGAACUGAAACACGGUCCAUACACCUACGGGUGGCAGCAGUAGGGAAUAUUGCACAAUGGGCGAAAGCCUGAUGCAGCAACGCCGCGUGUGCGAUGAAGGCCUUCGGGUCGUAAAGCACUUUUCUGAGGGAAGAGGAAGGACGGUACCUCAGGAAUAAGUCUCGGCUAACUACGUGCCAGCAGCCGCGGUAACACGUAGGAGGCAAGCGUUAUCCGGAUUUACUGGGCGUAAAGCGCGUGCAGGCGGUUUGGUAAGUUGGAUGUGAAAGCUCCCGGCUCAACUGGGAGAUGCCGUUCAAUACUGCCAGACUAGAGGACGGUAGAGGAAGGUAGAAUUCCUGGUGUAGUGGUGAAAUGCGUAGAUAUCAGGAGGAAUACCAGUGGCGAAGGCGGCCUUCUGGGCCGUUCCUGACGCUAAGACGCGAAAGCAUGGGUAGCGAACGGGAUUAGAAACCCCGGUAGUCCAUGCCGUAAACGAUGCAAACUAGGUGUUGGUGGUGUAAAAGCCAUCAGUGCCGCAGCUAACGCGAUAAGUUUGCCGCCUGGGGACUACGGCCGCAAGGUUAAAACUCAAAGGAAUUGACGGGUUCCCGCACAAGCAGCGGAGCGUGUGGUUUAAUUCGAUCUACGCGAAGAACCUUACCUGGGCUUGACAUAUAGGUGGUAGGGAGCCGAAAGGUGACCGACCCUUCGGGGAGCCUAUACAGGUGCUGCAUGGCUGUCGUCAGCUCGUGUCGUGAGAUGUCCGGUUAAGUCCGGUAACGAGCGCAACCCUUGCCGUAUGUUAUAUAUGUCAUACGGGACUGCCGAUAUAAAAUCGGGGGAAGGAGGGGAUGACGUCAAGUCAGCAUGGCCUUUAUGUCCAGGGCUACACACACGCUACAAUGGCCAGUACAAUGGGUCGCAAUGCCGCGAGGCGGAGCCAAUCCUCAAAGCUGGUCUCAGUUCGGAUUGCAGGCUGCAACUCGCCUGCAUGAAGCCGGAGUUGCUAGUAAACGCGCGUCAGCAACAGUGCGUUGAAUACGUUCCCGGGAAUUGUACACACCGCCCGUCACGUCAUGGAAGCUGGAAACACUUAAAGUCAGUAUCCUAACCCUAACGGGAGGGAGCUGCCAAAGGUGGGGCUGGUAACUGGGACGAAGUCGUAACAAGGUAGGUGUACCGGAAGGUGCGCCUGG
rnacentral:rRNA from 1 species